rnacentral:rRNA from 1 species
GCCAGACUCCUACGGGAGGCAGCAGUGGGGAAUAUUGCACAAUGGGGAAACCCUGAUGCAGCGACGCCGCGUGAGUGAAGAAGUAUUUCGGUACGUAAAGCUCUAUCAGCAGGGAAGAAAAUGACGGUACCUGAUUAAGAAGCCCCGGCUAACUACGUGCCAGCAGCCGCGGUAAUACGUAGGGGGCAAGCGUUAUCCGGAUUUAUUGGUGUAAAGGGUGCGUAGACGGGAAAUUAAGUUAGUUGUGAAAUCCCUCGGCUCAACUGAGGAACUGCAACUAAAACUGGUUUUCUUGAGUGUUGGAGAGGAAAGCGGAAUUCCUAGUGCAGCGGUGAAAUGCGUAGAUAUUAGGAGGAACACCAGUGGCGAAGGCGGCUUUCUGGACAAUAACUGACGUUGAGGCACGAAAGUGUGGGAAGCAAACAGGAUUAGAUACCCGGGUA